UGAUUCCUCAGUUCGGUAAGGUUAGCGAACCGUCGAAACCUCGAGUCAUGGGCUUUGAUCGUAAGGUGUCGAGUUAAGCGUUGACAGGGGAAACCUAGGCUGAGUAUUGAGCUGCGCUUACGAGUCUCUUUAAGAGUGCUGAGCUAGUUGUGUGAUAGGGAAGGCAAUACGAUGAAUAGACAUAAAAACUGUCAGGUAGCGCUAGUUAUUCAUCGGCUCUUCUCAGUCAUAGACCU
rfam:Osedax symbiont Rs1 5221_207, whole genome shotgun sequence.